rnacentral:rRNA from 1 species
GUGGAUGCCCUGGCAGUCAGAGGCGAUGAAGGGCGUGCUAAUCUGCGAUAAGCGCCGGUAAGGUGAUAUGAACCGUUAUAACCGGCGAUACCCGAAUGGGGAAACCCAGUGUGACUCGUCACACUAUCAUUAACUGAAUCCAUAGGUUAAUGAGGCGAACCGGGGGAACUGAAACAUCUAAGUACCCCGAGGAAAAGAAAUCAACCGAGAUUCCCCCAGUAGCGGCGAGCGAACGGGGAGGAGCCCAGAGCCUGAAUCAGCAUGUGUGUUAGUGGAAGCGUCUGGAAAGGCGCGCGAUACAGGGUGACAGCCCCGUACACAAAAGCGCAUGUGCUGUGAGCUCGAUGAGUAGGGCGGGACACGUGGUAUCCUGUCUGAAUAUGGGGGGACCAUCCUCCAAGGCUAAAUACUCCUGACUGACCGAUAGUGAACCAGUACCGUGAGGGAAAGGCGAAAAGAACCCCGGCGAGGGGAGUGAAAAAGAACCUGAAACCGUGUACGUACAAGCAGUGGGAGCACCCUUUGGGUGUGACUGCGUACCUUUUGUAUAAUGGGUCAGCGACUUAUAUUCUGUAGCAAGGUUAACCGAAUAGGGGAGC